UACGUAGGGGGCUAGCGUUGUCCGGAAUCAUUGGGCGUAAAGAGCGUGUAGGCGGCCCGGUAAGUCCGCUGUAAAAGUCAAAGGCUCAACCUUUGAAUGUCAGUGGAUACUGCCGGGCUAGAGUCCGGAAAAGGCGAGUGGAACUCCUGGUGUAGCGGUGGAAUGCGCAGAUAUCAGGAAGAACACCAACGGCGAAGGCAGCUCGCUGGGACGGUACUGACGCUGAGACGCGAAAGCGUGGGGAGCGAACAGG
rnacentral:rRNA from 1 species